rnacentral:rRNA from 1 species
UGAGGAAUAUUGGUCAAUGGGCGAGAGCCUGAACCAGCCAAGUAGCGUGAAGGAUGACUGCCCUAUGGGUUGUAAACUUCUUUUAUAAAGGAAUAAAGUCGGGUAUGGAUACCCGUUUGCAUGUACUUUAUGAAUAAGGAUCGGCUAACUCCGUGCCAGCAGCCGCGGUAAUACGGAGGAUCCGAGCGUUAUCCGGAUUUAUUGGGUUUAAAGGGAGCGUAGAUGGAUGUUUAAGUCAGUUGUGAAAGUUUGCGGCUCAACCGUAAAAUUGCAGUUGAUACUGGAUAUCUUGAGUGCAGUUGAGGCAGGCGGAAUUCGUGGUGUAGCGGUGAAAUGCUUAGAUAUCACGAAGAACUCCGAUUGCGAAGGCAGCCUGCUAAGCUGCAACUGACAUUGAGGCUCGAAAGUGUGGGUAUCAAACAGGAUUAGAUACCCUGGUAGUCCACACGGUAAACGAUGAAUACCCGCUGUUUGCGAUAUACUGCAAGCGGCCAAGCGAAAGCGUUAAGUAUUCCACCUGGGGAGUACGCCGGCAACGGUGAAACUCAAAGGAAUUGACGGGGGCCCGCACAAGCGGAGGAACAUGUGGUUUAAUUCGAUGAUACGCGAGGAACCUUACCCGGGCUUAAAUUGCAGAUGAAUUACGGUGAAAGCCGUAAGCCGCAAGGCAUCUGUGAAGGUGCUGCAUGGUUGUCGUCAGCUCGUGCCGUGAGGUGUCGGCUUAAGUGCCAUAACGAGCGCAACCCUUGUUGUCAGUUACUAACAGGUUCCGCUGAGGACUCUGACAAGACUGCCAUCGUAAGAUGUGAGGAAGGUGGGGAUGACGUCAAAUCAGCACGGCCCUUACGUCCGGGGCUACACACGUGUUACAAUGGGGGGUACAGAGGGCCGCUACCACGCGAGUGGAUGCCAAUCCCCAAAACCUCUCUCAGUUCGGACUGGAGUCUGCAACCCGACUCCACGAAGCUGGAUUCGCUAGUAAUCGCGCAUCAGCCACGGCGCGGUGAAUACGUUCCC